CCUACGGGAGGCAGCAGUGGGGAAUUUUGGACAAUGGGCGAAAGCCUGAUCCAGCCAUUCCGCGUGCAGGAUGAAGGCCCUCGGGUUGUAAACUGCUUUUGUACAGAACGAAAAGGUUUCUACUAAUACUAGGAGCUCAUGACGGUACUGUAAGAAUAAGCACCGGCUAACUACGUGCCAGCAGCCGCGGUAAUACGUAGGGUGCAAGCGUUAAUCGGAAUUACUGGGCGUAAAGCGUGCGCAGGCGGUUAUAUAAGUCAGAUGUGAAAUCCCCGGGCUCAACCUGGGAACUGCAUUUGAGACUGUAUAGCUAGAGUACGGUAGAGGGGGAUGGAAUUCCGCGUGUAGCAGUGAAAUGCGUAGAUAUGCGGAGGAACACCGAUGGCGAAGGCAAUCCCCUGGACCUGUACUGACGCUCAUGCACGAAAGCGUGGGGAGCAAACAGGAUUAGAUACCCUGGUAGUCCACGCCCUAAACGAUGUCAACUGGUUGUUGGGUCUUAACUGACUCAGUAACGAAGCUAACGCGNGAGUGACGCGNGGNGGUAACGGCGCGAGUUAGUAAGUUANAAUAGAGUUGNGNGNGAGAGNGCGAGGCGACGACGAGGGAGGAGG
rnacentral:rRNA from 1 species